UCAAUGACAACCGUCAUCAUAUCGUAUUAUCAUACCGUUGUCACGUUUGAGUUCUUUACAUGUACGUACAAUUACAGCUCGUCUUACUUCUGUCUGAUCUUUCUAGAGGCAUUUUGGGCACUGCUUCUUUGAUUACAGCAACAAUAACGUCACCAAUAUGAGCAUAUCAGUGAUUACCAGCUCCUAAGAUUCGAAUACAUAUCAAUUCGAUAGCCCCACUCCGUUGUUAUCCGCUACAUUCAAAAGGGUCUGAGUGAGAUGGAUCUUGGAAGUCUGGUUUUUGAUUGGAUAGUGAUCUCGGGCACGAGUGGUUGAUCUUCGCGGGCCGUGAAUGGCCAUGGAAAGGAGUAUUGAUGUCAAUAUGUUCGAUCGAGAAGAUUGGACGAUGAAAGACGGAUCCUUUGUGGUUUGAAUAAUAGGCUGUGGUCUCGAUAUUGGGCUAUGGGCUGAUUGCUUUCUGUAUGAGCUUCUUGUGAUUGGGCUCUCGUGGGCGGAUUACCCGAUGUGUACUCAUCUUCCAACAAAGAGGAGAGGACAGGGCUACUGCUGGUCCACGCAUGAGAGCUCCUCUGUGUCUUUUCGGAAAUUACUUCGACUCGCAAAGGUGAUCCCAGCCCACAAUACAAUCAGUAGUUUACUUAACUGAUAUAAAGAGUUUCCCCUGCCUGCCCCUACUAUCAAUUGAUAAUACAUAAAUGAUCCGGGGCUAGUGUUGGGUAGCCGGGCCCACUAGAAUUCAAGUGCUUCUUAUCGAUUCAAUACGCCCUUAACGGAUCCCCGUGCUUUAUCUCCAUUGGGUGGAGCAAGACCCUUGUCCUAUCUUUUCUUUACAGAGCAAUAGAAAUGAUGGUUGCCCCUCGCUGCACUGACCAAUGAUAUCUCAGAAGAGAGAAAGACUUCUAUAACUUGCCAAUGAUAUCUAGUGGGCACUACGAACUCCAGGCAUACUGUACUUGACCACCCUACUUUGCUUUGUCCCUAUUAGGCGAAAUCAAUACUUACUUUCAAUUGGUAGAGAGGAAGAAGAGAACUGACACUAGUAAUAGGUUGAUGACUUCUCUUAACAGAACUGACACUAGUAAUAGGUUGAUGACUUCUCUGACUUAAUAGCUGGCCGACUUCUCUUCAUGGAUCACCGUUCUAUAUAGUUAGGCGCAGCAUCGCGUUUAACCACCUAUCCCUAUUCCCUCAAUCGAUACCGUCCAACUAUCCUUUUAUUGGGACAGCAGCAUACUUCUCGUUAGGGACAAUAGUUCCUAUACUUAACUAACCUCUGUGCGCAAUCACUGUUUGACACAUCAUUCUUUCAGCUUUUCGUUCUUGACGACUCUGUUUGACGGAGCCUGACCUUGAACUAGCUUUUUGCAACACAAACCACUAUCUUUACUUUCCUUUAGCAAUAGUAUCUAACUAUCAAUUCAUAAGAGUCAAACGGGUGGGUCCAUCCCAUCUAUCGACAGGUCCUGAUACCGGAU
rnacentral:lncRNA from 1 species